CCCCAAAUUCUCCAGCCUUCCCUUAAAGGCCCAUCGCCGUCCCUGAGCUGUUAAUUUAUAAAGCUUGUUCAUUUUCAUGAUUUCUGGCAAGCAGAUUCUACAUUAGACCAGCAGGCCUACUAGUACUUUUGUUCCAACAGUCUGCAUAUUUGAAAUGAAAUUGCCUAAAGAUGACCGUAGAGUCCUCUUUGGGUUUUAUUUUUGCACAAAAUUUUAAGAGUGUAGGCCCAUAUACACUUUUUCACUGUAGCAGCGUUUCUAGUUAUUUUUGUUUGUUUUUUUUUUUUUUUUUUUUUUUUUAAGAAAAAGAAAAACUACAACUCAGACAUUUUGGGUUUUAUUGGUAUCAAUUUACAUUAACAGGCUGAAAUGCAAUUAAUUGAAUUCUGCAUGCAUACAUGUUCAGUCAAUCUAUAAAGCAACUUUGUUAAUUUCCUUUGAGGUAUGUUUAUGAAGUACAAGUUUUAAAUAACAUCACAAAAACAUUCAGCUUGCCACUGAUCAUUUUUGUGAAUUUAACAGAGAACAAGUCUUCAAGUUUAAUAUCCGGUGACUCGUACAGCCAGACACUUCAUAAAUCCUUUUUUCAAAAACCCCAGAAUUUACUCUUCCACCAUUUGAUACAUGAAGAGGCAAGAUAAUCUCACCUCUCAUAACUCCUCAAACAUCUAUCUUCAAAAAGAUACAACGGCUGAAGAACCUUUCAACAUCUUCAGUGUAUCUCAACUGGGAAAGCAGCCUGUCGAACACGUACUGAUUCUGUGCUAACAGAUAAAGCAUCAAACUUCAAAUCUCACUGUAAAAACAAGGCCAUACUACUCAGUUUGGAGUGUCUCAUUUUCUUUUGUAUUGUAGAAAUUCAAGUCCACAACAUAUUUCACCUGAAAUAUCCACUGGAGAAUAAUUCCACUGGAGAAAUCCACUGCUUAGAAUUACGUAUAAGAAGUGAAAGAAUGGAUCAUUAAGGCCAUCAGAGACUAGUCAUCACAUUAAUGUUAUUAAAAAGAUUGUUCAUAUUAAAAGUACCAAUAAUGAGAAAAUAUGGAAAUGUUCCUGUGACAAUUAAAAUCCUUCAUCCUCUGGUUUUCUUUAA